rnacentral:rRNA from 1 species
UACAGAGGGUGCAAGCGUUAAUCGGAAUUACUGGGCGUAAAGCGUGCGUAGGUGGUUCUUUAAGUCAGGUGUGAAAUCCCUGGGCUCAACCUGGGAACUGCAUUUGAUACUGAAGAGCUAGAGUGUGGUAGAGGAUAGUGGAAUUCCCGGUGUAGCGGUGAAAUGCGUAGAUAUCGGGAGGAACAUCAGUGGCGAAGGCGGCUAUCUGGACUAACACUGACACUGAGGCACAAAAGCGUGGGUAGCAAACAGG